UACGUAGGGGGCAAGCGUUGUCCGGAAUCAUUGGGCGUAAAGCGCGCGUAGGCGGCCCGGUAAGUCCGCUGUAAAAGUCCAGGGCUCAACCCUGGGAUGCCGGUGGAUACUGUCGGGCUCGAGUCCGGAAGAGGAGUGUGGAAUUCCCGGUGUAGUGGUGAAAUGCGUAGAUAUCAGGAGGAACACCAAUGGCGAAGGCAGCUCGCUGGGACGGUACUGACGCUGAGGCGCGAAAGCGUGGGGAGCAAACAGG
rnacentral:rRNA from 1 species